rnacentral:rRNA from 1 species
UUCCGGUUGAUCCUGCCGGACCUGACUGCUAUCGGAUUGAUACUAAGCCAUGCGAGUCUUUGUAGUAAUACAAGGCAGACGGCUCAGUAACGCGUAGUCAACCUACCCUAUGGACGGGAAUAAUCUCGGGAAACUGAGCAUAAUACCCGGCGUACCACCAUUCCUGGAAUGGUUGGUGGUUAAAAUGAUUCGUCGCCGUAGGAUGGGACUGCGACCUAUCAGCUUGUUGGUGAGGUAAAGGCCCACCAAGGCGAUUACAGGUACGGGCUCUGAGAGGAGAAGCCCGGAGAUGGGUACUGAGACACGGACCCAGGCCCUAUGGGGCGCAGCAGGCGAGAAAACUUUGCAAUGUGCGAAAGCACGACAAGGUUAAUCCGAGUGAUUUCUGCUAAAGGAAUCUUUUGCCAGUUCUAAAAAUACUAGUGAAUAAGGGGUGGGCAAGUUCUGGUGUCAGCCGCCGCGGUAAAACCAGCACCUCAAGUGGUCAGGAGGAUUAUUGGGCCUAAAGCAUCCGUAGCCUGCUCUGUAAGUUUUCGGUUAAAUCUAUAUGCUCAACGUAUAGGCCGCCGAAAAUACUGCAGUGCUAGGAAGUGGGAGAGGUAGACGGUACUUGGUAGGAAGGGGUAAAAUCCUUUGAUCUAUCGAUGACCACCUGUGGCGAAGGCGGUCUACCAGAACACGUUCGACGGUGAGGGAUGAAAGCUGGGGGAGCAAACCGGAUUAGAUACCCGGGUAGUCCCAGCUGUAAACGAUGCAGACUAGAUGAUGCAUUGGCAUAUAGCCAGUGCAGUGUCUCAGGGAAGCCGUUAAGUCUGCCGCCUGGGAAGUACGUACGCAAGUAUGAAACUUAAAGGAAUUGGCGGGGGAGCACCACAAGGGGUGAAGCCUGCGGUUCAAUUGGAUUCAACGCCGGG